GCCUAUAGCGACAGUUACGGCAGAGUCUAUGCGGCCACUGACCCCUACCACCACACCAUCGGCCCCCCGGCGACCUACAGCAUCGGAACCAUGGCUAGCCUCUGCCGAGGAGGGUGCAGCCGCUUCACCCCCUACUAGCAAGAGGGCCAGCCCCUAGCAGCAUUCACACUGACUGCCCAGUACACACCACACCCAGCAGCCCAAAACCAGGCACAGCCACCGGGAGGACAGUGCGCCUCCCAGGCAGCGGCACGCGACGCUAAAGUCCAUAGGUUUACCUCCAGCCAGCCGGUGCCCCUGCCCCUCACCAUGGCGUGUGUGUCUUUGACCUUGGUUACCCCUGUAUGUCUGAAACCUUGCUUCCUAUUUUGACUAUGUUGACGUUGUGACCCCCCCAAGCCAUUUCAGGUACAGUAUGCACAUAGCGGGAGGGGCCAGGCUGGGGACGAGGACCCGCACCCCCAGCCCCAGAACUAGCAAUAGAGCCCGCCAGGGCGACACCCACUUCCCAUCAUCCCCUGGGUCUGCAGAGCCAAGGAGACCGCCCCCAGCCUGCCGGGACCCCUCUUCUGGGGUUCAGGGAGGGAGGAAGCGCUCCCGUCC